AUUGAACGCUGGCGGCAGGCUUAACACAUGCAAGUCGAGCGGGGUGAUGGUGCUUGCACUAUCACUUAGCGGCGGACGGGUGAGUAAUGCUUAGGAAUCUGCCUAUUAGUGGGGGACAACAUCUCGAAAGGGAUGCUAAUACCGCAUACGUCCUACGGGAGAAAGCAGGGGAUCACUUGUGACCUUGCGCUAAUAGAUGAGCCUAAGUCGGAUUAGCUAGUUGGUGGGGUAAAGGCCUACCAAGGCGACGAUCUGUAGCGGGUCUGAGAGGAGGAUCCGCCAAACUGGGAAUGAGACACGGCCCAGACUCCUACGGGAGGCAGCAGUGGGGAAUAUUGGACAAUGGGGGGAACCCUGAUCCAGCCAUGCCGCGAGUGUGAAGAAGGCCUUAUGGUUGUAAAGCACUUUAAGCGAGGAGGAGGCUCUUUUGGUUAAUACCCAAGAUGAGUGGACGUUACUCGCAGAAUAAGCACCGGCUAACUCUGUGCCAGCCGCCGCGGUAA
rnacentral:rRNA from 1 species